rnacentral:rRNA from 1 species
UACGUAGGGGGCAAGCGUUGUCCGGAUUUAUUGGGCGUAAAGAGCGUGUAGGCGGUCAGGUAGGUCCGUUGUGAAAACUCGAGGCUCAACCUCGAGACGCCGAUGGAAACCAUCUGACUAGAGUCCGGAAGAGGAGAGUGGAAUUCCUGGUGUAGCGGUGGAAUGCGUAGAGAUCCGGAAGAACACCAGUGGCGAAGGCGGCCCGCUGGGCAGUGGCUGACGCUGAGGCGCGACAGCGGUGGG